AUGAUUGUGGGCAACAAUGAGAAUGGUGCAUCUGGGUACGGUAAUUUAUUUACUGUUUAUUCAGUGUUUCAGCCCAACAAUUGGUGGGUGGACACAAGUGCAGGUGUUCAUGUGUGUGCUGACAUUUCAUUGUUCACUUCUUACCAGGUCACAGGCCACGGGUCCGUAUUGAUGGGGAAUGGCGCGAGUGCUUCUGUUCAUGGUGUUGGCACGGUCGAUCUGAAGUUUACUUCGGGAAGGAUCGUGCAACUGAAGAACGUGCAGCAUGUCCCCACCAUCAAGAAGAACCUCGUUAGUGGCUCCCUUCUAUGUAGAGAAGGGUUUAAGUUGGUUUUUGAGUCUAAUAAAUUAGUUGUUACGAAAUAUGGACUCUUUGUUGGAAAAGGUUAUGAGAGCGGAGGGAUGUUCUGCCUUUCCCUCACAGAUUUUUGUAAUUGA
rnacentral:rRNA from 1 species